rnacentral:rRNA from 1 species
GUGCCAGCAGCCGCGGUAAUACGUAGGGGGCAAGCGUUGUCCGGAAUCAUUGGGCGUAAAGCGCGCGUAGGCGGCCCCGUAAGUCCGCUGUAAAAGUCAGAGGCUUAACCUCUGAAAGCCGGUGGAUACUGCAGGGCUAGAGUCCGGAAGAGGCGAGUGGAAUUCCUGGUGUAGCGGUGGAAUGCGCAGAUAUCAGGAGGAACACCAACGGCGAAGGCAGCUCGCUGGGACGGUACUGACGCUAAGGCGCGAAAGCGUGGGGAGCGAACAGGAUUAGAAACCCGCGUAGUCC